UACGAAGGGGGCUAGCGUUGCUCGGAAUCACUGGGCGUAAAGGGUGCGUAGGCGGGUCUUUAAGUCAGGGGUGAAAUCCUGGAGCUCAACUCCAGAACUGCCUUUGAUACUGAAGAUCUUGAGUUCGGGAGAGGUGAGUGGAACUGCGAGUGUAGAGGUGAAAUUCGUAGAUAUUCGCAAGAACACCAGUGGCGAAGGCGGCUCACUGGCCCGAUACUGACGCUGAGAC
rnacentral:rRNA from 1 species